GGCGGCUCUGUGUCACGCGCCCCCCCUCCCGCCCCUUCCCGCAGACCCGAGACUGUGUAUGAAGGCAGCUCAGACUAAGAAGAUUGGUGCCCACCGCUGGCCUCAGUCAUCCUGCUGAUUUGAGAAGUCUGGAAUCCUUCACCUCUGAUUGUACUCGGAGCUAUAGCGGCAGAAGCGGCAGCUCUGCCCCCUGGUGGACAUAUGAGGCACAGCGCCCUUCUCCGAUUCCAGAAGCCCUGUCACGGUAGAGGCUAGAGGAGUUGGCCUUCCUGAGGCCUGGCACUUUGGAGUGGAGGAUAAAACGAAAAAGUCUCUGGCGAUGCCACUGAAGGUGGAGGAGGAGACUGAGCCCGUUACCGUAGCAACACAGGCCAGCGGUUCUCCAUCCGUCCGUCCGUCCGUCCAUCCAUCCAUCCACAAAUGAGUUUUGCCGAUGACAAAAACUCAGACGUGAACGAAAGAAAGUAGUUGCUUUCGCGGAGCAUCUGUUCCAGUGCAGAAAAGGCAUCAAACAACUAAAUAAACAUAAACACAAUAGAAGUCCAGACAGAGAUAAGGGCUUGGAGGAAAAUAAAGCAGGGAAAGGGGGGAGAGAGUAAGGCAUAUUUUGCCUAGUGUGGCCACAGGGGCUUAUCUGAGGCUCUGCAGAGUGGUUAAUCUAAUUGCGUUAGACUCAAAGCUCCCAAGUCUAGACCCCACUCUCAGUGGACUUCUUUCCUCUUGUUCCCCUUCUCCCACAGGAUCUGAGGGUAGCCAAUGACCCCAAACCCUCAGCUGCAGAGUGGAGGUAGGUGAGGGUCAUUUAGGCAGGGGAUGAGGAGAAGGUGAAGCUAGACCCCGGGGAAGGGAGCAGAGGGUUCAAGGGCUUGGACGCUCAUGGGAUGAAGGGUCAGUGGUUGUUCAUUGAUUACCUACUCGAUAUUCAUUCCUCUUCUCCCCACUUCCUGCCAGCACUCAUAUUUGCUUUCUGGGUUUGGGUGGGAUGUCAAGGGGUGUCCUGAAUGUCCUAACAAUCAGCACAGUCUCAGUCCUGUUACCUCGGUGAUCGGUUCGUAUUGUGAAGUGUGGAGUGUGGCACUUUGGGUCUUCUUUUAUUCUUUUUCAUUAAAAAAUUUUUUUCUUAUUA